CGGAUACUCCAUAGACCUGAAUGUUGCAUUCUCGCGUAUUCCAGAAUACGGCAUUGACAUCAGCUAAUGGCCGCUGAAGCGCCAGGUGUUGAAGAGGACUGAAUGGAAGAGCAUAGUGGUUGCCACAAGAGACAGGUCCAGGUAAGUAUAACUCAUCUCUCCCUGCACCCCGGGUUACUGAACACUCAGCAGUAAUGUCAAUAUUGGGGAUGUUUGCAAAUUAUGCAAAGACUCCAGACUAUGACAAAGCC